GCUCGGGUGCUGGAACUGGCAGACAGGCGGGUCUCAAAAACCCGUGGUAUUAACACACCGUGUGGGUUCGACUCCCUCCCCGAGCA
rnacentral:tRNA from 1 species